CAGGACGAACGCUGGCGGCGUGCCUAACACAUGCAAGUCGAGCGAGGAGAUCCUCGGGAUGAUCCUAGCGGCGGACGGGUGAGUAACACGUGGGCAACCUGCCUCAUAGAGAGGAAUAGCCUUCCGAAAGGGAGAUUAAUACCUCAUAACAUUGCAGUUUCGCAUGGAACAGCAAUUAAAGGAGUAAUCCGCUAUGAGAUGGGCCCGCGGCGCAUUAGCUAGUUGGUGAGGUAACGGCUCACCAAGGCGACGAUGCGUAGCCGACCUGAGAGGGUGAUCGGCCACAUUGGGACUGAGACACGGCCCAGACUCCUACGGGAGGCAGCAGUGGGGAAUAUUGCACAAUGGGGGAAACCCUGAUGCAAGCAACGCCGCGUGAGUGAUGACGGCCUUCGGGUUGUAAAGCUCUGUCUUCAGGGACGAUAAUGACGGUACCUGAGGAGGAAGCCACGGCUAACUACGUGCCAGCAGCCGC
rnacentral:rRNA from 1 species